GAUGAACGCUGGCGGCGUGCCUAAUACAUGCAAGUCGAGCGAACAGACGAGGAGCUUGCUCUUCUGACGUUAGCGGCGGACGGGUGAGUAACACGUGGAUAACCUACCUAUAAGACUGGGAUAACUUCGGGAAACCGGAGCUAAUACCGGAUAAUAUAUUGAACCGCAUGGUUCAAUAGUGAAAGACGGUUUUGCUUUCACUUAUAGAUGGAUCCGCGCCGCAUUAGCUAGUUGGUAAGGUAACGGCUUACCAAGGCGACGAUGCGUAGCCGACCUGAGAGGGUGAUCGGCCACACUGGAACUGAGACACGGCCCAGACUCCUACGGGAGGCAGCAGUAGGGAAUCUUCCGCAAUGGGCGAAAGCCUGACGGAGCAACGCCGCGUGAGUGAUGAAGGUCUUCGGAUCGUAAAACUCUGUUAUUAGGGAAGAACAAAUGUGUAAGUAACUAUGCACGUCUUGACGGUACCUAAUCAGAAAGCCACGGCUAACUACGUG
rnacentral:rRNA from 1 species